AUUAAAAAUCGUCAGAUCCUGUGGAUACACCAUAUGCGUGCACUAAUAACCGUUCGGAAAUAUUGUCAAGACUUUCUGUAAAAACUGCUUCGAAACAGCAUUGAUAAACGGUCUUUAUAUACUAUAAAAGAUAAUUGAUUUCCUAUACAGCGAGAUUAUUGUACGUAGUCACACCUUGUAUUAUUUGAGGACGUGUGGAGUGACCGAUGAUAAAAUAAUAACGUUGACCAAAAUAAUAAUAUUAUGCUGAUACCACCGGCAGGGGACCGGAAACGACGGUGAAACUAAACAAGAUAUAAGUCGUUUUGUAAAGUACGAAACAAAAAUAUGUUCCCUUGUUGAUUUUGUUCUUUGAGUUAGAUAGAUUUUCAAUAAUAAAAGUAACCAAUUGAUUGGAAAGAAGAUUCGUUUUUCAACAGUAUACUUGUUUGUGUGACGGUUUGCUCGCCAGUGUAAAAAACAAAGUUGUUAAUAAUAUCUAAGUGAAAUAUCAUCCGGAUCCGAAAUAUCCGCAAGUAACUAUUUAUAUAUUAAAAACAUUAAUAUAAAAUAAAAACUUGUUCGUUUACGAUUUUAUACAAUGCGAUGCAACGAGAAGAAUAGACACAUGCAUUUUAUUGCAUCGCAUACGUCAUACCGAAACAAGUCCUCCUAUUAUGUAACUAGUGUAUAAUAUUAUCGCACGAUUGUGGGCUUUGCAUUUUCCGUUAUAGUUAUUACUUAUUUAGCAUAAAUAUAUAAUAUGUAUUAUAGUCUAAUUGGAUUUUAAUAGUUUUAAAUUUUGAGU